GGAAGGUGGGGAUGACGUCAAGUCAUCAUGGCCCUUAUGUCCAGGGCGACACACGUGCUACAAUGGCCGGCACAGCGGGAAGCGAGGCAGUGAUGCCAAGCGGAUCCCUUAAAGCCGGUACUCAGUUCGGAUUGAAGUCUGCAACUCGACUUCAUGAAGCUGGAAUCGCUAGUAAUCGCAGAUCCAGCCAAGCUGCGGUGGAAUACGUUCCCGGGCCUU
rnacentral:rRNA from 1 species